AGCAGUGGUUCUCUUAGGACUUCUUGGGGAAGUGUGGUCCCAGUGGUCAUCACCAUGAACAGCCAGGUGUCAGCCCGGAAAGCAGGGACACUCCUCCUGCUGAUGAUGUCAAACCUUCUGUUCUGCCAAAAUGUGCAGACCCUGCCAGUCUGUUCUGGUGGCGACUGCCAGACACCUCUCCCGGAGCUGUUUGACCGUGUGGUCAUGCUUUCUCACUACAUCCAUACCCUGUAUACAGAUAUGUUUAUUGAAUUUGAUAAACAGUAUGUCCAAGAUCGUGAGUUUAUUGCCAAGGCCAUCAAUGACUGCCCCACUUCUUCCCUAGCUACUCCUGAAGACAAGGAACAAGCCCAGAAAGUCCCUGUGAGUCCUUACCCCAAUUCUUCCCAACAUAAUUGAGGCAGUACAUUGGUUUUGGUGUACCCUAUGUUAUUAGAGCACUGAGACAGAUAUAGUAAUCACCAGUGCAAAGUUAAAGGGGGGGGCGUGAUUUCCCAAAAGAAAUAUACAUUGCAGAGUGGGUAAAAAAAAUGGAAUACUUAAUAAUAUUGUAUCUAAGCCAUAAACUGUCUAUGAAGAUGGCACUGCAUAUGUUAUCCUGAACUGAAUUUCAUGAUUAUGGAUAAAUUGACAUUCAUAUCUGUAGGAAAUAUGUAAGACAUGCAUAUAAAAAAUGCUAACUUAGUUGUAUUUUUUCUACAUUGGCAGACUCCUUUACUGACCACUGCUCAUUACUCCUUAGCUUCCAAAUUCUCCUGGUUAUGCUCCUCCUUACUUACCUACAUCUGUGUUCUUCCCAGACUUCUUCACCUUAUUUUGUAUCUUAUAUCAGAAGUUCCCUCACCAAGAAGUAUUUGAAAACUCACUUUAACGUGUUUUUUACAUGGGUAACUGGGGUCUCAUAUGAUAAUAAUGUCUUAAUGUUAUAGUAUCUCUGAUAACUAACUUUUAUAAACCAUCCAUAGCCAAUUUUAACAUAACUAAAGAAAAAUAUAUAUACAGGAUGACUAUGUUAUGGAG
rnacentral:lncRNA from 1 species